GCGGUGGGACGGGCGUGUUCAGAGGAGAGACUGCGCCAGCAGGGCCCACAUGAUGCAGGUAGCAGAAUGAAAAGCAGCAAAACAAAGCUGCUGAACUAAAGAUACAAAGAGCAACAACAAGGACCACCAGAAUCUUUGAACUCAUCUCCACUCGUCCUGACGGUCUGUAAAUUUAAAGAGCUCCCCAUCAGAAUUUGGGACAGUUCAGGAGUUUCCCAGGCCAAACGGGAUGAUGCACUAUUCUGUCCCAUAAGAUCCUGUCCCACAGCCUUGAGUGAGGAUGGACUGUCUUCAUCAAGAGGCUCUAGAGAGAGGACAAGUGGCCCCUUGUCCACUCCCGGGGCCUCUCAGGAAACAGCACGAUACCUUCUUCCUCAUGAUGCCCGUUUCUCCUUUGAGCCGCAGUAACAAGCACCUCUUCGGCAAAGCCCACCUCCCUCUCUCGCUUGAUUCCCCGACCAUCCUUAUCAAAGACCUUCCAGGUGAACAGGCAGCCGUCCUCAGCAGCGGUCAGGAGGAACUGG